ACGUAGGGGGCGAGCGUUGUCCGGAGUUACUGGGCGUAAAGAGCGCGUAGGCGGUUGAAAAAGUCAGGUGUGAAAUUCCUCGGCUCAACCGAGGGACUGCGUCUGAAACUGUUCAACUGGAGUUUGGGAGAGGGAGCUGGAAUUCCUGGUGUAGCGGUGAAAUGCGUAGAUAUCAGGAGGAACACCCGUGGCGAAGGCGGCUUGCUGGACGAAAACUGACGCUGAGGCGCGAAAGCGUGGGGAGCAAACAG
rnacentral:rRNA from 1 species